rnacentral:rRNA from 1 species
UGCAGUCGAACGAGAAGCUUUUUAAUGAUCCUUCGGGUGAACUAAGAAGUGGAAAGUGGCGAACGGGUGAGUAACGCGUGGGUAACCUGCCUCAUGGAAAGGAAUAGCCUCGGGAAACUGGGAGUAAAGCCUUAUAUUAUUGAGUUGUCGCAUGGCAAUUCGAUGAAAACUCCGGUGCCAUGAGAUGGACCCGCGUCCCAUUAGCUAGUUGGUGAGAUAACAGCCCACCAAGGCAACGAUGGGUAACCGGUCUGAGAGGGCGAACGGUCACACUGGAACUGAGACACGGUCCAGACUCCUACGGGAGGCAGCAGUGGGGAAUAUUGCGCAAUGGGGGAAACCCUGACGCAGCAAUACCGCGUGAGUGAAGAAGGUUUUCGGAUCGUAAAACUCUUUUAUUGGGGAAGAAGAAGUGACGGUACCCAAUGAAGAAGUCCCGGCUAACUACGUGCCAGCAGCCGCGGUAAUACGUAGGGGACAAGCGUUGUCCGGAAUCACUGGGCGUAAAGGGCGCGUAGGCGGUUUUAUAAGUCAGAUGUGAAAGGUACCGGCUCAACCGGUGACGUGCAUUUGAAACUGUAAGACUUGAGUACUGGAGAGGCAAGUGGAAUUCCUAGUGUAGCGGUGAAAUGCGUAGAU